rnacentral:rRNA from 1 species
UACGUAGGGUGCGAGCGUUAAUCGGAAUUACUGGGCGUAAAGCGCACGUAGGCGGCUUUGCAAGUUAGAGGUGAAAGCCCGGGGCUCAACUCCGGAAUUGCCUUUAAGACUGCAUCGCUAGAAUUGUGGAGAGGUAAGUGGAAUUCCGAGUGUAGAGGUGAAAUUCGUAGAUAUUCGGAAGAACACCAGUGGCGAAGGCGACUUACUGGACACAUAUUGACGCUGAGGUGCGAAAGCGUGGGGAGCAAACAGG